ACGAACGCUGGCGGCGUGCCUAAUACAUGCAAGUCGAACGGUCUUUUCUAUGGAAGCUUGCUUCCACUGAGAAGAUAGUGGCGAACGGGUGAGUAACACGUGGGUAACCUGCCCAUAAGAGGGGGAUAACAUCCGGAAACGGGUGCUAAUACCGCAUAGUUUUCUUGAUCGCAUGAUCGGGAAAGGAAAGACGGCCUUUGUGCUGUCGCUUAUGGAUGGACCCGCGGCGUAUUAGUUAGUUGGUGAGGUAACGGCUCACCAAGACGAUGAUACGUAGCCGACCUGAGAGGGUGAUCGGCCACAUUGGGACUGAGACACGGCCCAAACUCCUACGGGAGGCAGCAGUAGGGAAUCUUCCGCAAUGGACGAAAGUCUGACGGAGCAACGCCGCGUGAGUGAAGAAGGUUUUCGGAUCGUAAAACUCUGUUGUCAGAGAAGAACAAGUCGGAGAGUAACUGUUCCGGCCUUGACGGUAUCUGACCAGAAAGCCACGGCUAACUACGUGCCAGCAGCCGCGGUAAUACGUAGGUGGCAAGCGUUGUCCGGAUUUAUUGGGCGUAAAGCGAGCGCAGGCGGUUCCUUAAGUCUGAUGUGAAAGCCCACGGCUCAACCGUGGAAGGUCAUUGGAAACUGGGGAACUUGAGUGCAGAAGAGGAGAGUGGAAUUCCAUGUGUAGCGGUGAAAUACGUAGAUAUAUGGAGGAACACCAGUGGCGAAGGCGACUCUCUGGUCUGUAACUGACGCUGAGGCUCGAAAGCGUGGGGAGCAAACAGGAUUAGAUACCCUGGUAGUCCACGCCGUAAACGAUGAGUGCUAAGUGUUGGAGGGUCUCCACCCUUCAGUGCUGCAGCUAACGCAUUAAGCACUCCGCCUGGGGAGUACGGCCGCAAGGCUG
rnacentral:rRNA from 1 species